rnacentral:lncRNA from 1 species
UCCGGCCGAACCAUUGCCCCUAUAUAAUAUAUUAUUAAGUAUAUAGUAUUUUACAAGUAAAAAAGUAAGUAUUAUUUUAAGAAAAUAUAUAUAAUAUGUUUGUUACCAAAUUUCCUUUUUGCUACGACAUAGGAAAUCGCAACAGUUGGCUUCUAUGCAAUUAUUUGUUCAAGGUCAUCUCCUUCAUUUAUCUCCAUAUCUUUCCAUAAAGAUAUUUCUACAAUUUCAGAUCUGCGAGAAAUAUUGAGUAAAUUCAAUUAUUGUUAUUUUUCUAAGGUUAUGAACAAAUUAUAGUAUAUGAAACAUCAAAUAAAUAUAACACAUAUAUAUAUAUAGGGGCGGUUAUUCAAUAAACCACCCUUAUUUUAAGAAUUAGGAACCAGCAAAAAUGCAUGAAUUUUAUGUAUAACACGCAUGAAUAAACUGUAUAAAGGCAUGAAUUGCGAAAAAUAAUUUUUUGCUACCUUUGUGAUUCGAACUCAUGACCAUGAAUUUGUCCAAUAAGUUGAUGAAUCAACCAUAGAUCUUGAUGCGUUUCAUUAUUGUUAUUAGGGUAAAACCCUAAUUUUUGUUCGUCCUCCUUCUUCCUGAAUUGCAUCGCAGCUUGAUUCUCAAUUUUCCUUCCUCGCAUUCACAAAUUACAAAACUUUAAAAAAUUGAGAAGGAAUAGGUCGAACACAUAUUGAUCAGAAAAGGCAAUGUAAAUGCUUACAUGUUAGCGACGGUGGGCAAUACGAAGCAAUUCAGGCGAAUUGGGGAAUGAAGCUUGAAAAAGGAAUACAGGCGAAUUCAGGGGAAUUACGGCCACUCCCCUUCUUCCUUGUUCGGUCCGGCUUUAGCUGUUCCAGCCACUGCAGAUUGCUUCGCUAAGGAUUAGAGAUUAAUAAUGAGGGGAAGGAAGAAGUGGCGCGACGGGUGCCCACAGCGGUGAGAUGGGUGGCGGCCGCCGGCGGUGGAUAGAAGACGAAUUGGGGAAAGAAGAUUGAAAUUUUAUGUUGAAAGACCAAACAAUUCAAAUUUUUUUGUGUAAUUUUAAUUAAUUAUUUAAUUGUAUUGUGAGUGGAGAAAAGAGAUCUACCAUGUGAGAAACUU